GAGCACGUAUGUGGGUUUGUAAGUCAAAUGUGAAAGCCUCCUGUUCAACGAGAGAAUUGCAUCUGAAACUACGGAUCUUGAGUGUAAGAGGGGAGAAUGGAACUUCUGGUGGAGCGGUGAAAUGCGUAGAUAUCAGAAGGAGCGCCGGCGGCGAAAGCGAUUCUCUGGCCUAUUACUGACACUCAGUGUGCGAAAGCUAGGGGAGCAAACGGGAUUAGAUACCCCGGUAGUCCUAGCCGUAAACGAUGGGCACUAAAUAGAGGGAAUUACCGAUAUUCUCUCUGCCGUAGCUAACGCAUUAAGUGCCCCGCCUGGGUAGUACGGCCGCAAGGCUAAAACUCAAAAGAAUUGACGGGGGCUCGCACAAGCGGUGGAGCAUGUGGCUUAAUUCGAUGCAACGCGAAAAACCCUACCGGGGCUUGACAUGAUAGAAAUAGGAACCCGAAAGGUUAACGAACGGUAUCCAGUCCGUAGCUAUUACAGGUGUUGCAUGACUGUCGUCAUCUCGUGUCGUGAGACGUUGGCUAAGUCCCCUAACGAGCGAAACCCUUGUUUUAGUUACCAGCGUGUUAUGCCGGGCACUCUAGAACGACUGCUGUCGUCAGGACGGAGGAAGGUGGGGGAUGAGGUCAGUCAUAUGGCCUUAUUUCCCGGGCGUCCACCCGUUACAAGAGACUAUUAUAUAGGUGUAGA
rnacentral:rRNA from 1 species